AAGACCGGCCCGUCACGCCGGGGGUCGCGGGUUCGAGUCCCGUCCGCUCCGCCA
rnacentral:tRNA from 1 species